GCUGGGAUAGCUCAGUCGGUACAGCAUGAAACUCUUUAUCUAGGGUUGUGGGUUUGAGCCCCACAUUGGGCA
rnacentral:tRNA from 1 species